CAACCAGGCUAAGCUGUAAAAAGUCUCAGUGUCAAAAGGACAGCGCCAGCCUGGCCGGUGCUGGGCCCAUCAGGGUGGCUGCUCUCCCCUGAGGAGCAACAGUAGGUGUAGCCGUGGGAGAGCGGUUACCUAGUUUGGAAGCUGUUGAGGGGGAGGCGGGGGUGUGGUGGCACUGAGUCAGCUGGCUUCAGUCGUCCCCCCCCCAUCCCCAGAACAUCUUGCCUAGCUCCUCUGAAUAAUGAACAGCGUUUUACUAAUCAUCAAUUAAAGAUGAGGAGUAGCGAGAACGGCGACUGUCUCUAGGCAGCUAAAUCCAACCUGCACCCGAGGUACCAAAAGUCCAUGUUCGCCUGACGUUGAGCCAACGGGGCAAGCCGACAGCACACAACGCUUUUGCUGAGAUCCGUUCGUUCAAAAUUAGUGAGAAGGAACGCGGAUCUUAAACGCCGUCCCUCGAAGCACGAGGAACGAAGGAAGCGAGGGCGGGAUGGAGAGGGCAGGGUCUCGGUGUGCUGCGGACUAGAAGACGCGGGCGCUCCUGUACCCCCAGGCCGAGUCUCUGGUAACGGAGGAUGGGCCUCUGGCGUCGGUGCCUAUGGAAAAGGUACCAACGAGAAUUGGCCUCACCCACCCCGCUGGGUAUUUUUCCCCCUCUCAGUUACCCGUCUCAGCCCAGCCAGGUCUCGGUCUCCUGCGGAUGUCAACCGUGGAUACCAAGAAUACACUUUUCAGAGUGCUCUCUUAUUAGACGGGGUUUUCUCCCUCUCCCUUUAAUUAAAGGGACUUAGGGGGAAGGAAAACAAAACGAAACAAAACAAAAUGUAAGAGCUGUGUCCCUUAGAGGAACAGUAACCAGCUGCUUGUCUGAUUUCUGAGUGGGGAAAAUAAAUAAAUAAAAAGGAGAGGAAAGAUGACUGCUCCUAGAUAUAGUGGAGGAGGAUUUUUUUUAUUAUUGUAGAUAAAAUACUGUAGGGCAGAGGCAGGGACGUCAGAAUGGUCAUGCCCUGAGCCGGGUGGGAAGACGGGGAGGGGAAGCAGGGGCAGCAGCCACCAGGCCCAAGGAUACAGAGAGAGUGGGCAACCAGAAUGGUUGGAUGAGAUAAGGACUUGCAGCCCAGCUGCCCGGGCUAGAGAGCUCGGGGUAGAGAGCAGCUAUGCCAGCCAGGAGGGCGCUGUAACGGGUAGGGCCAGAGGGAUGGCAGGAGAACCUGGCAGCCAGGUUCGCUUUGAUGUUGUUAAAUAGGCAUGGUAGCUGUCAGCCAGGGGUCUGAAGCCUAACGAUUUCCAUAACGGGAGGCAAGAACUAUCCCAAGAGCAUCGAAUGGCAGUCCUGCUCAUAGGAAGUAAGGCACCUGCUGCAGAGAGGUCCUAUAUGGAACGUUCCAGUAGUUCUCACACCUAGGAGGCUGCAGCAGGAGGAUUGGCAAACCCAGGUCUUGCCUGGGCUACAUGCGGAGAAGCACAAUACUGUCACAACCAUGUAUGAUAAGGGAAGCAGAACAGAAGAGGCCCGGGGAAAGGAAAACAAUCUCCCAUCCCAGAGCUAGAGGAAGCCUCUCCCCAGCUGCAGGCAGGAAUCCCAGCACACAGAACUUGCUGUAAACUAGAGGUUGCAGAUACAGACAUGAUGUUUCUCUCAUGGAUAUAGCUACGACCCGGGCUUAAGACCCAAGUGUGUUUGAUCUCUGUUUGGGUCUCAUUCAUCCCCUCCCCCCCAGACAGCUGGGAAUCUCAAAGAAGACACAUAACGCUUGUUUGCAGUAAAGGUAUCCUACCUUGGGCCUGCAGAGGUGGCCCGGCGGUUAGGAGCACUUGCUGCUCUUACAGAGGACCCAUUCCAGGGGGCCUAAUGCCCUCUUCUGAUCCCCGAGGGCACCAGGUAUUCACGAGGUGCACAUACUUGCAGGCAAACACACAUAACAAAACGUAAGCAAGGGGCUAAGCAGUUAAGGGCUUGGGCUGUCCCUCUGGAAGACCUCCCUUAGAUUCCCAGUACUGGUCCUGGCAACUCCUGUCCCCGGAGCUCUGAUGCCCUCUUCUGGCCUCAGAGGGAGAUGCAUGCGUAUGGUGCAGAGCCAUAUAGGCCUAGCUUAACAUAAAUCUUUAAAAAUUUUUAAAGGGUACUAACUUGGGUGAUAGCCACAGAGGUGAAGAAAACUCAGCACGACCUGGGAAAUCUAGGUGCUCUAUGAACCUGGAGUCAGUGGGGGUGCCUGUACAGGAUACGCAGGAGGAAGCGAUGGGGCCUCUAGGUCUCUGACUUGAGCCGUCAGGCCCGUGGGAUACACCAAAAGAAAAGCGGGCUGCCGGGCGUUGGUGGCGCACGCCUUUAAUCCCAGCACUCGGGAGGCAGAGGCAGGCGGAUCUCUGUGAGUUUGAGGCCGGGCUGGACCGACAGCCUCCAAAACAAUACAGAGAAACCCUGUCUCGUAAAAACAAAUAAAUAAAUAAAUAAAUAAAAAAGAAAAGCAGGCCUGGGGCUUGUGGCAACGUGAAGGGGGUUUUCUCGUGGGCAGAGGUGGUUCUGUCCAGGGUCGACGCAGGUACCAGUCAACGCCGACCUGCAGCUGUCUGAUGGGCCACUGUGUAGCUGGCCAGUUGCCGCUUGCGGGACGUUCUCCACAGGCCGUUGGGAGUGCCUCAGGACAUAAGCACUGCACUCUGGGGCUUCUGAGGCGUCUAAGAGAGGGAGGGCAAGGAAGAGAAGAGCCAGCCGUAUCCUGCGCUAGGCGUGCAGACAGGAAACGGUGGCCUUCUCCCUUUUCCAAGUUCACCCGGUCUGGACCUGGGCCUGGGGGAUGGGACCGCACACCUUCAGGGCAGAUCUUCACACCCAGUUAACCCUUUCUCCAAGACAGACACGCCCGCCCGGGCAUCAUCAACCGCCUCCAUGCACCCACGCCCUGCUUCUUUCUUCCUGUCCUUGCAGAGAGCGUGCCUCUCUGCACAUCCUCCCGCCACGAUGACCUUCCCCCUCCGAGGACUGUAGAAGCCGCAGAGCCAGGAGCCAAAACAAACACAUCCCUCCCUUAAGGUGUCCUUGCGGGUACUGUAGCCCCAGCGGUGGAAAGCUGACUCAUACAAUAUCACACCGUCGGGCUCAUGAGGCUACGGCACAGGAUGGUCCGGUGUCAGCCUUCAGCUGGAUCGUUCACCCAGGGGAGGAUUUUAUUAUAGAGACUGCCUCGGCAGCCUAUGGAGAGAGCCCCGAGAGUAGCAGCCGGCCUCUGGCCAGCCGCCUGCCAGCCAUGGAGUGAGCUGUGGUGUUAGCACAUCUGACAGCUUAGGUCAGCUUUGGCGGACAUCAGGAUCCAUCCCGGGCUGAUCCAUCUCUGCCCAUUGCUCAGACAUCGGAACUCUGAGGACAGCAGAUGCAUGCUGCCGCCGCCGCCGUAAGGGGAGUAGGCUUGGGGGAGUGUUACACAGUGACAGUACUAAUCACCCACCUGGAUAUGUCAUGAUGUAGGUAUUCCCCCUGGGCUAGACAGCUAGGUUGUUUCCGAUGUGUGUGUGCCUGGUGCCCCAGGAGGUCUGAACAGGAGGUCCUUGGAUCCUCUGGAACUAGAGUUACAGACAGUUCUGAGCCACCACGUGGGUGCUGGGAAUCAAACCCAGGUCUCUGCAAGGGCGGCAGGGGCUCUUCACCACCUCGCCACCUCUCCGGCCUCUGCCUUUUUGCUGUUUUUGAGACAGGGUCUCGGUAGCUCAUGCUGGCCUGGGACUGUCUCUGUAGACCAGAGUAGACUCCAAGACCUACCUGCCUUUGCUUUUCCAGCGCUAGGUUUAAAGACUUGUACCACCAUACUGUUUCUGGUUUUAUGGAAUUUUAAGCAGUGCUGCAAAAAUAUUCUUAGACAUAUAAAAUCCUUUAGGAAAUGUUUCUAGAAAUAGAACAGAAAGAACCCAUGUUCUCAUUUGUGAUAUAAGUUGGCAAACUACCCUCCAAAAGGACGAACGCUUCCAUUGCUGUAAUUUGUAUUACCAGUUUGUAUUACAGCUCAGGUUUCUCUGUACCUCAGCCAACAGUGGACAUAUUUAAUCUUUGCCAGUGUUAAAUGGGAAAUAAUAUGUUAUUAUCUCAUGGGAUCUUGAGGGGUGGGGGAUGGCCUGUUGGGGAUAGCGCAUAAGACUUUGCACAUGCUGGCAAAUACUCUACCAUGUAUUUAUAGCCUAACACCCCCAGUGUCUUCUUUUUGCAGCAGGACCUUCAGCAGGACCUUGAAUCUGGUUUAUAGCCCAGGAUAGCCUUGAACUCAUCAUGUAGUCCAGGCAGGCUGUGAACUCUGGAUCAUUCUACUCAUUCUUCUAAGCCCUGGGGUUAUAGGCAUGUGCCACCACGGCCCUGUAUAUUUUAUUAGGCAAAGGUGAUGAUAUCAGGGGUUUUAAUUAUUUAUUUAUUUAUUUUUACUAUGAUCAAUCUUUUUAUACUCUUUGUCCUGCUCAAAGUGUUUAAUGCCUAGAAAUUAUCAUUUGUUUGCUGUGAAUGUUUGUCAUAUAUAUCACAGAUAGCUUCCCAUUAUUAUCCAUUGUGUGUCUUUUGCUGUUUAGGCAUCCCCUGGGUUUAUAUGAUUAAACCUGUUAUUUGUUUAUUUAUAUGCGCAUUGAUGUUUUGCCUGCAUGUAUAUCUGUGCAUGUGUGUUGGGAUUCCCUGGAGCUGGAGUUACAGGCAGUUGUGAGGUUCCAUGCGGGUUCUAGGAAUUGAACUCAGGUCCUCUGGAAGAGCAGCCAGUGCUCUUAAUGGCUGAGCCAACUCUCCAGCUAUCAUAAAUCUGUUACUCUUUUAGCUCAAAAUAUAUACACGUUCUCUCAUUCCAA